rnacentral:rRNA from 1 species
UGAUACUAAGCCAUGCGAGUCAUUGUAGCAAUACAAGGCAUACGGCUCAGUAACGCGUAGUCAACCUAACCUAUGGACGGGAAUAACCUCGGGAAACUGAGAAUAAUGCCCGAUAGAACAUUAUGCCUGGAAUGGUUUAUGUUCCAAAUGAUUUAUCGCCGUAGGAUGGGACUGCGGCCUAUCAGUUUGUUGGUGAGGUAAUGGCCCACCAAGACUAUUACAGGUACGGGCUCUGAGAGGAGUAGCCCGGAGAUGGGUACUGAGACACGGACCCAGGCCCUAUGGGGCGCAGCAGGCGAGAAAACUUUGCAAUGUGCAAAAGCACGACAAGGUUAAUCCGAGUGGUUUCUGCUAAAGGAACCUUUUGUCAGUCCUAGAAACACUGAUGAAUAAGGGGUGGGCAAGUUCUGGUGUCAGCCGCCGCGGUAAAACCAGCACCUCAAGUGGUCAGGAUGAUUAUUGGGCCUAAAGCAUCCGUAGCCGGCUCUGUAAGUUUUCGGUUAAAUCUGUACGCUCAACGUACAGGCUGCCGGGAAUACUGCAAAGCUAGGGAGUGGGAGAGGUAGACGGUACUCGGUAGGAAGGGGUAAAAUCCUUUGAUCUAUUGAUGACCACCUGUGGCGAAGGCGGUCUACCAGAACACGUCCGACGGUGAGGGAUGAAAGCUGGGGGAGCAAACCGGAUUAGAUACCCGGGUAGUCCCAGCUGUAAACCAUGCAAACUCAGUGAUGCAUUGGCUUGUGGCCAAUGCAGUGCUGCAGGGAAGCCGUUAAGUUUGCCGCCUGGGAAGUACGUACGCAAGUAUGAAACUUAAAGGAAUUGGCGGGGGAGCACCACAAGGGGUGAAGCCUGCGGUUCAAUUGG